AUGGCGACGCAGCCGCCUUCCUCGGCUGCGGCCGCCGACCUCUACGAGACGGCCUCGCAGCCCGACCCCUCCGCCUCCGCCGCCGGGGACGCAUACACCUUCCUGGAGUUCAACACGCAGGGCGACGACUUCGAGUACCCCGACUUCCCGGAGCUCUCCCAGCCCGCGCGAUCCGCGCCGCCGCCCCCGGCCCCCGUCACCUCCUCAGCCUCUUCUUCCUGGCCGGCUCCGCCCCUGCCGCCCGACGCUUUGCCGGACGCCGAUCUCGCGCCGCAGGACUCGACCCCGCCGGCCUCUUCAUCCUCGCCGUCGCCGCGGUCGUCGGCGUCGAAGUCAAGGGCGGCGGCGGCGGUGGCGGACGGGCUAGCCGCGGGGGUUGCGGCCCUCAGCUUCGAGGAGCCUCCUGGCGCCGGAACGGGGGAUGACGGGUACGACUAUGGCAAGGGCGACUUCGUGGAGCACGCCUGCCGGUACUGCGGGAUCCACAACCCUGCAUGCGUUGCGCGCUGCAACGUGCCAUCCUGCCGCAAGUGGUUUUGUAACUCGCGAGGGAACACCUCUGGCUCCCACAUUGUUAACCACCUGGUCAGAGCAAAACAUAAGGAAGUCUGCCUUCACAAGGAUAGCCCUCUGGGAGAAACGAUUCUUGAAUGCUACAAUUGUGGCUGCCGGAAUGUAUUUCUGCUUGGUUUUAUCUCCGCAAAGGCAGAGAAUGUUGUUGUUCUUCUGUGUAGAGAGCCCUGCUUGAAUGUUAAUGCGUUGAAGGAUAUGAAUUGGGAUCUCAGUCAGUGGACACCUCUUAUUGAUGACAGGUGUUUCUUAUCAUGGCUUGUCAAGGUUCCCUCAGAACAGGAGCAGUUGAGAGCACGCCAAAUUAGUGCCCAGCAAAUUAACAAAGUGGAAGAGCUCUGGAAAACAAAUCCUGAUGCCUCUCUUGAAGAUCUUGAAAAACCUGGUGUAGAUAAUGAACCCCAGCCGGUGGUUUUGAAGUAUGAAGAUGCUUACCAGUAUCAAAAUGUUUUUGCUCCGCUGAUAAAGCUUGAGGCUGAUUACGACAAGAUGAUGAAAGAGUCACAGAGCAAGGACAGUGUAACUGUGAGGUGGGACAUUGGACUGAACAAGAAGCGUGUUGCCUAUUUUGUCUUUCCAAAGGAAGAUAAUGAAUUGAGACUUGUCCCUGGAGAUGAGCUACGUCUGAGAUAUUCUGGUGGUACUUCACACCCUGCAUGGCAAUCUGUGGGGCACGUGAUUAAACUCACUGCACAAGAGGAGGUAGCACUUGAGCUUCGUGCUAGUCAGGGAGUGCCUGUUGAACUGAACAAUGGGUUUAGUGUGGAUUUUGUUUGGAAGAGUACUAGCUUUGAUAGGAUGCAAGGGGCAAUGAAGACUUUUGCUGUAGAUGAGACAAGUGUCAGUGGGUACAUAUAUCAUCACCUUUUGGGGCAUGAAGUUGAGCAUCAGAUAAUACGCAAUACACUACCGAGACGCUUCGGUGCGCCAGGACUUCCAGAAUUAAAUGCUUCCCAGGUCUUGGCAGUUAAAAGUGUUCUCCAGAAGCCCGUUAGUUUGAUUCAAGGUCCACCUGGCACUGGGAAAACUGUUACAUCAGCUGCAAUUGUGUACCACAUGGCAAAACAAGGCCAAGGGCAGGUCCUUGUAUGUGCACCAAGUAAUGUUGCUGUUGAUCAGUUGGCAGAGAAGAUAAGCUCAACAGGUCUCAAGGUUGUUAGACUUUGUGCGAAAUCUAGAGAAGCAGUUUCUUCACCUGUUGAGCAUCUUACACUUCAUUAUCAGGUUCGGCAUCUCGAUAAUUCCGAGAAGAGCGAAAUGCAUAAGCUACAGCAACUAAAAGACGAGCAAGGAGAAUUGUCGAGCAGUGAUGAGAAAAAGUACAAGGCACUAAAACGAGCCACUGAAAGAGAGAUAUUACAAAGUGCUGAUGUGAUUUGCUGCACCUGUGUUGGUGCUGGAGACCCUCGUUUGUCAAACUUCCGUUUUCGCCAGGUUCUUAUCGAUGAGUCUACACAGGCGACAGAGCCAGAAUGUCUUAUUCCAUUGGUUCUUGGUGUUAAGCAGGUUGUUCUUGUUGGAGAUCAUUGCCAACUGGGUCCAGUCAUCAUGUGCAAAAAGGCAGCGCGAGCAGGAUUAGCACAAUCUCUCUUUGAGCGCCUUGUUAUCCUUGGAGUCAAGCCAUUCAGGCUACAGGUCCAAUAUAGAAUGCACCCUUGUCUUUCAGAAUUUCCAUCCAACUGUUUUUAUGAAGGCACACUGCAAAAUGGGGUAACCGCAAAUGAGAGACAGUCAUCUGGAAUUGACUUUCCUUGGCCUGUUCCAAAUCGACCGAUGUUCUUCUAUGUGCAGAUGGGAGUAGAAGAGAUAAGUGCUAGUGGGACAUCUUACCUCAAUAGGACUGAAGCUGCAAAUGUAGAGAAAAUUGUAACUACAUUCUUAAGAAGUGGUGUUGUGCCAAGCCAGAUCGGAGUUAUCACACCUUAUGAAGGGCAGAGGGCGUAUAUAGUAAAUUAUAUGUCAAGGAAUGGCUCUCUUCGCCAACAGCUUUACAAGGAAAUUGAGGUGGCAAGUGUCGACUCCUUCCAGGGAAGAGAGAAAGAUUACAUUAUUCUGUCUUGUGUUAGAAGCAAUGAACACCAGGGUAUCGGCUUUCUUAAUGAUCCACGCAGGUUAAAUGUUGCAUUAACUCGUGCUAGGUAUGGUAUAGUCGUUCUUGGGAACCCUAAAGUUCUAAGCAAGCAGCCUCUUUGGAAUAGUUUGUUGACACAUUACAAGGAGCAUGAGUGCUUGGUAGAAGGACCUUUGAACAAUUUGAAGCAGAGUAUGGUGCAAUUUCAGAAACCAAAAAAGAUCUACAAUGAUCGAAGACUGUACCUGGGUGGUGGUCAAGGUGUUAUGCAGGGAUCUGCCUUUGGCACUGUAGGCUCAGUAGAUAAGAGAAGUGGUAGGGGAAAAGGACACCCAUUUGUUCCAUUUGGGCCACCAAAUGGGGCUCACAAACCUGGUGUGCACCCAUCAGGCUAUCCUUUACCUCGCAUGCCUUAUCCUCCAUUUCCUGGGUCUCCACAUUCUCAACCCUAUGCAAUUCCAACCCGGGGAUCCCUGCAUGGACCCAUUGGAGCUGUUCCGGCGGCGCCUCAACCUGUUAAUAGGAACUUUGGGGCUCCUCGUGCAAAUACCGGUGGCCCUAUUGGUGGUCACCUUGCUGCCCAUCAGCAGAACUCUCAGCAAGCUAUGGGAAGUGUGGGCCCAACUUUUAACUUUGCUGGUGAUCCGAGCAGUCAGCCUUCUGGUGGAGGCCUGAUGUCCCAAUCUGGACUGAUGACACAGAUGCCUGUCCAAGGUCUUAGUCAAACAUUCCGUGACGGGUUUCCUGUUGGUGGGAUGUCUCAGGACUUCUUUGGAGAUGAUUUCAAGAGCCAAGGAUCUCACGUGGCAUACAACAUUGCAGAUUUUUCUACUCAGGCUUCUCAAGGAGGUUAUGCUGUUGAAUAUACACAAGGGCCCCAAUCUGGAUAUCCUGGGAAUUAUUUGAACCAAAGUGCACAUCCAGGAUACCCCCAUAUGGGUGUAACAAAUGACAUUGUAUCUCAGGAUCAUAUGGCCCAUGGUUCACAUGGAAUGUUUACGCAAGCGGGAUACAACGACCCAUCACAAGAUGAAUCUUCUCAGAUGCAUUAUGGGAUGGGUGCUCCUGGCCAUCUUCAGUCACAGAGCAUGAUGAAUCCUAUGUACUCUCAGUCAUAUGCUCACUAUAACACUCAACCUCAGUCUCUUCAGCCCCCACCGCAGUGA
rnacentral:rRNA from 1 species